UGGGGAAUAUUGGACAAUGGGGGGAACCCUGAUCCAGCAAUGCCGCGUGUGUGAAGAAGGCCUGAGGGUUGUAAAGCACUUUCAGAGGGGAGGAGGACUAUUAGGUUAAGAGCUAGAUAGUUGGACGUUACCCUCAGAAGAAGCACCGGCUAACUCUGUGCCAGCAGCCGCGGUAAUACAGAGGGUGCGAGCGUUAAUCGGAAUUACUGGGCGUAAAGCGCACGUAGGUGGCGACGUAAGUCGGGUGUGAAAUCCCCGGGCUCAACCUGGGAACCACAUUCGAGACUGUGUUGCUGGAGUACGGAAGAGGAGGGCGGAAUUCCCGGUGUAGCGGUGAAAUGCGUAGAUAUCGGGAGGAACAUCAGUGGCGAAGGCGGCCCUCUGGUCCAGUACUGACACUCAAGUGCGAAAGCGUGGGGAGCAAACAGGAUUAGAUACCCAAGUAGUCCCUGAGCGGGCUGGCAAGGCGCAU
rnacentral:rRNA from 1 species